rnacentral:misc_RNA from 1 species
UGCCAUGUAGGGCUAUGUUCUGCAAGCCCUUGCAUUCUCUUAAUAAAUUUGAAGGCAUCUGAUUGAGAUUAUUAUUGUUCAAACAGAGUGAUUUUAGCUGAAUGAGAUUGCAAACUGAACCAGGAAGCUCUUCAAUGGAGUUAUCAUUUGCUUGCAGUUCUUCCAAUGAGCAGCAACUUCCAAUUGAUUCAGGAAGAAACUUUAACUUGUUGUUUGAAACAUUCAACAAAACCAAACUCCGCAAGCUCCCGAUUGUGUCAGGCAAGCUGGUCAAAAGGUUUGCUGAGACAGACAGACGCUCAAGUUUCACCAACUG